GCUUCCGUGGUCCAAUGGUUAGGAUUCCACCCUUCCACUCAUCAGUGAGCUUAGGUGGAGGUUCGUGUUCGAUUCACGGCGGUUGCA